ACGAACGCUGGCGGCGUGCUUAACACAUGCAAGUCGAACGGAAAGGCCCUGCUUUUGUGGGGUGCUCGAGUGGCGAACGGGUGAGUAACACGUGAGUAACCUGCCCUUGACUUUGGGAUAACUUCAGGAAACUGGGGCUAAUACCGGAUAGGAGCUCCUGCUGCAUGGUGGGGGUUGGAAAGUUUCGGCGGUUGGGGAUGGACUCGCGGCUUAUCAGCUUGUUGGUGGGGCAGAGGCUUACCAAGGCUUUGACGGGUAGCCGGCCUGAGAGGGUGACCGGCCACAUUGGGACUGAGAUACGGCCCAGACUCCUACGGGAGGCAGCAGUGGGGAAUAUUGCACAAUGGGCGGAAGCCUGAUGCAGCAACGCCGCGUGCGGGAUGACGGCCUUCGGGUUGUAAACCGCUUUCGCCUGUGACGAAGCGUGAGUGACGGUAAUGGGUAAAGAAGCACCGGCUAACUACGUG
rnacentral:rRNA from 1 species